GAUGAACGCUAGCUACAGGCUUAACACAUGCAAGUCGCGGGGCAGCAUGGGGGUUGCUUGCAACCCCUGAUGGCGACCGGCGCACGGGUGAGUAACGCGUAUCCAACCUGCCCUUCACCACGGGAUAACCCGGCGAAAGUCGGACUAAUACCGUAUGUUGUCCAUUGACGGCAUCCGAUUUGGACGAAAGUCUUGGCGGUGUAAGGAGGGGGAUGCGUCCGAUUAGCUUGACGGCGGGGUAACGGCCCACCGUGGCUACGAUCGGUAGGGGUUCUGAGAGGAAGGCACCCCACACUGGAGCUGAGACACGGUCCAGACUCCUACGGGAGGCAGCAGUGAGGAAUAUUGGUCAAUGGGCGUAAGCCUGAACCAGCCAAGUAGCGUGCAGGAUGACGGCCCUAUGGGUUGUAAACUGCUUUUAUGCGGGGAUAAAGUGGCCCACGUGUGGGCUUUUGCAGGUACCGAAUGAAUAAGGACCGGCUAAUUCCGUG
rnacentral:rRNA from 1 species